GUAGUUUUUAAUGAAAUAUGGGCUUAGUAAUUAAUAUACGUAGUAAUGUUAAAUAGGUUAUGAAUAAUUUAUAAUAAUUUCUGGCAUAUAUUUUUGAAGUGCAAUUGAAUAUUUUAUUACAUGAUUUAUAUUCAUGUAAAAAGUAAGAAGAUACCGAGGGGGAUAAUCAACCGCCAGUGCAGCAUUAACAUGUCAUGGAACAAAGAGAAUUAAGAAGAAGAAAAAAACAUCCUAAUCAGUCCAUAAGACAAUACACACAUGUAUGCACUUUCAUAUUCAUCUGAAUAAAAAAAUAUUACAUCUUUCUAGUAUCCUUUUUCAACCUUUAUCCUGACAGGUGUAGAAAAUAAACGGGUGUCUUCUAUUCUGUCCGCAAUUUUAGGGAAAGAAAAGUCUAUAUUUAGAAUCGUGGUUGAAACUGAAACUACACAUGUAUGAUAUAAAUAGAACAUGUUAUUUUUGCAUUAUCAAUGAAUUUCGAAGGGAUAGCAAAAUUUGUUAUUUUUCUUUUAUUGAGCUUCUGUCAUGUUUGUGUAUCUGUCCAAUUCUUUUUUUUUUUAUCAAAUACAAUUUUGAAAUAAAUAUAAAAAAGAAAGUGUGGUGUUAUACUGCAAGUGACAAGUGAUUUUUUUUCUUCUCAAGUCUAAAUUCAAGAUUAUUACUGAAUAGAGUAAUCGUUCUCUAUAAUAACAAGGGGC
rnacentral:lncRNA from 1 species